AUGAACAGAAAUCAAACCUCCACCAACUCCACGAGGGCCUUGAUUAAUCCACCUCGUACCAACGAAUUAUUUGGCGGAAUAAACCACAGCGGUCGGGGAACCAGAAGAUCACGCGGGCCAUAUCCAUUUGAUUUGAAAGCUGGAAUAUAUCACGGACGAACGCAGGGGAUGGAACCAAGGAAGCGAUCUGAGAGAGCACGGGAAACUGACCUUGCCUCGGCCUCCGGCUCCACAAUCAGAGCUCCAAUUCCAAAAACCAGGCUCGACGAUCCUGCAACCAACGCGCGCGGAUGCGAACACGAAUACGAGGAACACAGGAUCCACGGUUGCAAGCAAACAGAAGCGGACACGCGAAACAGACUCUGA
rnacentral:rRNA from 1 species